rnacentral:lncRNA from 1 species
UCGAGUCAAGGCAUCAGGAUAAAAUGUCGUUCUUUUUGUCCAUAUUGAAUGGGUAUCUUCAUUGUGUGCUGGGCUCAUCCUAUAAAUGUCAGCAUUUCAUUGCAGAAUUUAAAACAUAUUCGAACAUUAUUCUUGUUCUUCAAAUAUUUUGAUUUCACAUCAAAAGAAUAAUAGAAUUAGAAGUACAUUAUAUAAGUUGUAUACGCUUAAAUUUAUGACAACUUUACAACGAACGUUCUUUAUCGGAUAACUUUGGGAAUUCAGGGCUGACACUACAAUACUUAUAUACUUCGUCAAUAAUUUAGUUAUAGGACGUAUAUAAGUACAAAUGUUAGUAAUUAAUCCUUGUCUUCAAUCAGCAAUUUUGCGACACCAUAAUUCUAUUCUUCCCUCUGCAUAUUUUAACCUAUGCUUCUGAAACAGCAGGGUAAGACUUUUUUGGCGUCGUAGAUUACUAGACUCUUUAAAAUUUCUUCCCUUACUUGAGUCUUGCCUUUCUUCUUCGGCUUUAUCAUGGGCAGGGAUAGUAGAAAAAAGAUAAUUUCACAUUAAAAUCCACUUCUUAGCAUUACAACAAAAUUUUGCAUUACAUUUUUUUUUGUUGAUUUAUAAGUAUAAUAAAUGUGCCACGAAUUGUACAUGUAUGAAUCCCAUUUUACAGUGUCUAUCUUUGACCAUGUGUAAUUAUGAUAAACACGAACAAAAUUAUUACUACCAUUUGCCUUUUC